UGGGCCUGUCUAACAGAAAAAAGCCAUGAGUAAAACAAAUAUAAGAAAUUGUGAGUGUAUGUUUUGUAUCGUGCUUUUAGGAAGAGAGUAGGAGAGCCGCGUGGUUUGUGUUUGCUGAGAUGUCGGAUCCGUACGAGCGUGCGAAAGGAGGAAGAUUGGCAUUCAAAGGAGGGAUUCUCGCCUCUCGCUCCAAAUCCAUCGAGAAGAAGGGCAAGAACAAGAAGAAGCGGACGACGGCGGCGGCCGCCGAGGAUGAGAACUCCGGCCCUAACCCUAACCCUAACCCCAACCCUGACGAAGCUGUCGACACCGACAAACAGGCGGAGGGAUCUGAAUACACCAUCGACGCGGCGAAGCGUAUGAAGUACGACCAACUCUUCCCCGUGGAAGCCAAGAAGUUCGGGUACCAACCCAAAACUAACUUCAAUUCAGUUGAGGAUGCCCUCGAUGAUCGUGUCAAGAAGAAGGCUGAUCGUUAUUGUAAAUGAAACUAUCAAUCAAUCGUGGUAGCGGUGCCAUGGACUGUGCACUCAUUUUCCGGUGCUGUAAAUGUAACGCAUAUUGUUGCAGAUAUUUCAAUAUUAUGAAUGGAUCAAUAUUACGCUUCAGUGAAACCAUGUGUAGUUCAUCUGUCUCGUUAAUAUUAGUUAAAAGUGACAUAUAUGUGAAGCCUCGGUUCUGACCCAAGAUUCAUAGGACUAUACCACAUAAGCCUUAUGUUUAAGACAUGAAUUAUAAUUGAUCUAACUUGGAGGUUAAGUUCCAUGACAUGCGAGGUUCAUCAUCCAUAAAGGGGACGGAGAUAACUACGGUAGGUCUUAUGAAUAGACCCUUGAGGUCACCAUAUCGGGAUUUGAUAUUCAAUGGUUUAAGUUAAGAUAUUCAAUUCUCUGAAUGAUUUUUGUUACAUUAGAUUGUAUAUUAAGAUUUCUAAGUUUAUUCUGAGUAACUUACCUUUCUUUCA